GAUGAACGCUGGCGGCGUGCCUAAUACAUGCAAGUCGAGCGAACAGACGAGGAGCUUGCUCCUCUGACGUUAGCGGCGGACGGCUGAGUAACACGUGGAUAACCUACCUAUAAGACUGGGAUAACUACGGGAAACCGGAGCUAAUAACGGAUAAUAUAUUGAACCUCAUGGUUCAAUAGUGAAAGACGGUUUUGCUGUCACUAAUAGAUGGAUCCGCGCCGCAUUAGCUAGUUGGUAAGGUAACGGCUUACCAAGGCAACGAUGGGUAGCCGACCUGAGAGGGUCGUUGCACACCUGGGAAGUGAGAAACGGCCCAGACUCCUACGGGAGGCAGCAGUAGGGAAUCUUCCGCAAUGGGCGAAAGCCUGACGGAGCAACGCCGCGUGAGUGAUGAAGGUCUUCGGAUGGUAAAACUCUGUUAUUAGGAAAGAACAAAUGUGUAAGUAACUAUGCUCGUCUUGACGGUACCUAAUCAAAAAGCUACGGCUAACUCCGUG
rnacentral:rRNA from 1 species